GACGAACGCUGGCGGCGUGCCUAAUACAUGCAAGUCGAGCGGGGAUUAUGCUUGAUCGCUUCGGUGAGACGGCAUAUAUCCUAGCGGCGGACGGGUGAGUAACGCGUGGGUAAUCUACCUCGUAGUUCGGGAUAACAGGCCGAAAGGCUUGCUAAUACCGGAUGAGUUCAUGCUUAUGCAUAUAGGCAUGAAGAAAGGGCUAGCCCGCUAUGAGAUGAGCCCGCGUCCCAUUAGCUUGUUGGUGGGGUAAUGGCCUACCAAGGCAACGAUGGGUAGCCGGCCUGAGAGGGUGUACGGCCACACUGGGACUGAGACACGGCCCAGACUCCUACGGGGGGCAGCAGUAGGGAAUUUUCGGCAAUGGGCGAAAGCCUGACCGAGCGACGCCGCGUGAGGGACGAAGGCCUUCGGUUGUAAACCUCUGUCCUCAAGGAAGAUAAUGACGGUACUUGAGGAGGAAGCCCCGGCUAACUACGUGCCAGCAGCCGCGGUAAAGAGUAGUACAC
rnacentral:rRNA from 1 species